GGAAUAUUGGACAAUGGGGGGAACCCUGAUCCAGCGACGCCGCGUGAGUGAAGAAGUAUUUCGGUAUGUAAAGCUCUAUCAGCAGGGAAGAAGAAAAUGACGGUACCUGACUAAGAAGCCCCGGCUAACUACGUGCCAGCAGCCGCGGUAAUACGUAGGGGGCAAGCGUUAUCCGGAUUUACUGGGUGUAAAGGGAGCGUAGGCGGCAAGGUAAGCCAGAAGUGAAAGCCAGUGGCUCAACUGCGGGACUGCUUUGGGAACUAUCUAGCUAGAUUGCAGGAGAGGUAAGUGGAAUUCCUAGUGUAGCGGUGAAAUGCGUAGAUAUUAGGAGGAACACCAGUGGCGAAGGCGGCUUACUGGACUGUAAAUGACGCUGAGGCUCGAAAGCGUGGGGAGCAAA
rnacentral:rRNA from 1 species